UCUGCGGAUGGUAACUGGAAGUCAUCUUGCAAAUUGUGUUAGAGGCGCACAGAACUUCGGUAAGGAUAGAAGAGAGGAAGACUGCUGCGGUCACUGAGGAGAACGCGCGGAGCGCUGCGGUGUAAGAUAAUGUUGUGUAGAAAGAAAUCGGCGAUUUCAGCAGCAGUCCCGGAUGGUAGAGAUGCUGUCUCCGCAUAGCGUGUUGGAUGGUCUAUGGCCAUUGCAAUCCAACAAUUUCCAUGUAAGGUCAUGGGAAGAGGACCGUACAAGUCUAUUCCAACUACUUCAAAAGGCGAAGCGGGACAAGGCAGAGGUUGUAAAGAGCCAGAAGGAGCUGUUAGUCGUUUGCGGCUUUGACAAUGAACGCAGGGUGCAACAUACUUCGCAACGGCUGAAGAUGGGCCAGGCCAGGAGCAGCGACUUCAUAUUCUGUUGUAAGUCUUGUGGUAGCCUAGAUGACCAGUCGUCGCAUGAUCGUGAAAGGCUUCAAGCACCUCACAUUGCAGAGAACAUGGAAGCCAUCAUCUGGUGCUGUGUACAGCAAGCACAUGCUUCGGGCAAGGAGGGAGCCAGCACCAUAUCUACAUCAGCAAGAACCUCGGUGCUCAAAAUAAACAUUUUCUGUGCAAAUAA